CCGAGUGAGGGCCCUCUGGGUCCAACCUCCCACCCGUGUUUAUCGUACCUUGUUGCUUCGGCGGGCCCGCCACUUGUGGCCGCCGGGGGGCACCUGCCCCCGGGCCCGCGUCCGCCGAAGACACCAUUGAACGCUGUAUGAAGAUUGCAGUCUGAGUGAUUUUUUUCCAAAUCAAUCA
rnacentral:misc_RNA from 1 species